GAUGAACGCUAGCGGGAGGCCUAACACAUGCAAGCCGAGCGGUAUUUGUCUUUCGGGACAGAGAGAGCGGCGUACGGGUGCGGAACACGUGUGCAACCUGCCUUUAUCAGGGGGAUAGCCUUUCGAAAGGAAGAUUAAUACCCCAUAAUAUAAUGAGUGGCAUCACUUAUUAUUGAAAACUCCGGUGGAUAGAGAUGGGCACGCGCAAGAUUAGAUAGUUGGUAGGGUAACGGCCUACCAAGUCAGUGAUCUUUAGGGGGCCUGAGAGGGUGAUCCCCCACACUGGUACUGAGACACGGACCAGACUCCUACGGGAGGCAGCAGUGAGGAAUAUUGGACAAUGGGUUAGCGCCUGAUCCAGCCAUCCCGCGUGAAGGAUGACGGCCCUAUGGGUUGUAAACUUCUUUUGUAUAGGGAUAAACCUACUCUCGUGAGAGUAGCUGAAGGUACUAUACGAAUAAGCACCGGCUAACUCCGUGCCAGCAGCCGCGGUAAUACGGAGGGUGCAAGCGUUAUCCGGAUUUAUUGGGUUUAAAGGGUCCGUAGGCGGAUCUGUAAGUCAGUGGUGAAAUCUCAUAGCUUAACUAUGAAACUGCCAUUGAUACUGCAGGUCUUGAGUAAAGUAGAAGUGGCUGGAAUAAGUAGUGUAGCGGUGAAAUGCAUAGAUAUUACUUAGAACACCAAUUGCGAAGGCAGGUCACUAUGUUUUAACUGACGCUGAUGGACGAAAGCGUGGGGAGCGAACAGGAUUAGAUACCCUGGUAGUCCACGCCGUAAACGAUGCUAACUCGUUUUUGGGUUUUCGGAUUCAGAGACUAAGCGAAAGUGAUAAGUUAGCCACCUGGGGAGUACGUUCGCAAGAAUGAAACUCAAAGGAAUUGACGGGGGCCCGCACAAGCGGUGGAUUAUGUGGUUUAAUUCGAUGAUACGCGAGGAACCUUACCAAGGCUUAAAUGGGAAUUGACAGGUUUGGAAACAGACUUUUCUUCGGACAAUUUUCAAGGUGCUGCAUGGUUGUCGUCAGCUCGUGCCGUGAGGUGUUAGGUUAAGUCCUGCAAUGAGCGCAACCCCUGUCACUAGUUGCCAUCAUUCAGUUGGGGACUCUAGUGAGACUGCCUACGCAAGUAGAGAGGAAGGUGGGGAUGACGUCAAAUCAUCACGGCCCUUACGCCUUGGGCCACACACGUAAUACAAUGGCCGGUACAGAGGGCAGCUACCAGGUGACUGGAUGCGAAUCUCGAAAGCCGGUCUCAGUUCGGAUUGGAGUCUGCAACUCGACUCUGUGAAGCUGGAAUCGCUAGUAAUCGCGCAUCAGCCAUGGCGCGGUGAAUACGUUCCCGGGCCU
rnacentral:rRNA from 1 species